GGUCAAGUUAUUAAGGGUGCAGGGCGGAUGCCUUGGCACUAGGAGCCGAUGAAGGACGUGAUAAGCUGCGAUAAGCUUCGGGGAGUUGCACGUAAACUUUGAUCCGAAGAUUUCCGAAUGAGGAAACUCACUUAGAGUAAUGUCUAAGUAUCAUUAAGUGAAUACAUAGCUUAAUGAGGGGAACUCAGGGAACUGAAACAUCUAAGUACCUGAAGGAAGAGAAAGAAAUUCGAUUCCGUAAGUAGCGGCGAGCGAACGCGGAUUAGCCCAAACCAAUAAAGUUUUCUUUAUUGGGGUUGCGGACAUAUCAUAACGAAGAGGUAUCGUAAUUGAAGAGGUUUGGAAAGACCCACCACAGAAGGUAAUAGUCCUGUAUGUUAAACGAGAAGACUUCAGAUAUGAUCCAGAGUACCACGGGACACGUGAAACCCUGUGGGAAGCAGGAGGGACCACCCUCCAAGGCUAAAUACUACCUAGUGACCGAUAGCGUAUAGUACCGUGAGGGAAAGGUGAAAAGAACCCCGGGAGGGGAGUGAAAUAGAACCUGAAACCCUGCACUUACAAGCUGUGGAAGCACAUUUCUUGUGUGACCGCGUACUUUUUGUAGAACGGGCCAACGAGUUACGUUAAGUAGCAAGGUUAAGCACUUAAGGUGCGGAGCCGUAGCGAAAGCGAGUUUUAACUGAGCGUUCAGUUACUUGACGUAGACCCGAAACCGGGCGACCUACCCAUGAGCAGGAUGAAGCGAAAGUAAAAUUUCGUGGAGGUCCGAACCCACGAGCGUUGAAAAGCUCGGGGAUGACUUGUGGGUAGCGGUGAAAUUCCAAUCGAGCCCGGAGAUAGCUGGUUCUCCCCGAAAUAGCUUUAGGGCUAGCCUCAAGGUGAGAGAUACGGAGGUAGAGCACUGAAUGUCCUAGGGGGUAUUGCACCUACCGAAGACUAUCAAACUCCGAAUGCCGUCAUCUUAUACUUGGGAGUCAGACUGUGGGUGAUAAGAUUCAUAGUCGAAAGGGCAACAGCCCAGAUCGUCAGCUAAGGUCCCUAAAUGUAAGUUAAGUGGUAAAGGAUGUGGGAUUGCACAGACAACCAGGAUGUUGGCUUAGAAGCAGCCACUCAUUCAAAGAGUGCGUAAUAGCUCACUGGUCGAGUGAUCCUGCGCCGAAGAUUUCCGGGGCUAAAACUUACUACCGAAGCUACGGCAUCAGUAAUGAUGGGUAGGGGAGCUUCCCAUACGGGUUGAAGCAUGACCGUAAGGACAUGUGGACAGUAUGGGAGUGAGAAUGUUGGCAUGAGUAGCGAGAUGUGGGUGAGAAUCCCACAGGCCGUAAACCCAAGGUUUCCAGGGGAAGGUUCGUCCGCCCUGGGUUAGUCGGGACCUAAGCUGAGGCCGAAAGGCGUAGGUGAUGGACAACAGGUUGAUAUUCCUGUACUACCGAUAACCGUUUGAGAGAAGGGAUGACACAGUAGGAUAAGCUAAGCACACUGUUGGUUAUGUGUGCCCAAGCAUUGAGGCAGUCAAAGUAGGCAAAUCCGCUUUGAUAAUGCUGGGAUGUGAUGGGGAGCGAAAUUUAGUAGCGAAGUAGCUGAUUUCACACUGUCAAGAAAAGUCUCUAUCGAGGUUAAAGGUACCCGUACCGCAAACCGACACAGGUGGGUGAGGAGAGUAUCCUAAGGCCAGCGAGAGAACUGUUGUUAAGGAACUCGGCAAAAUGACCCCGUAACUUAGGGAUAAGGGGUGCCACCAUCAGGUGGCCGCAGAGAAUAGGCCCAAGCGACUGUUUACCAAAAACAUAGGUUUCUGCUAAGUCGCAAGACGAUGUAUAGGAGCUGACGCCUGCCCGGUGCUGGAAGGUUAAGGGGAUCUGUUAGAGCAAUCGAAGCAGUGAACUUAAGCCCCAGUAAACGGCGGCCGUAACUAUAACGGUCCUAAGGUAGCGAAAUUCCUUGUCGGGUAAGUUCCGACCCGCACGAAAGGCGUAACGAUUUGGGCACUGUCUCAACAACAGACUCGGUGAAAUUGUAAUUCCGGUGAAGAUGCCGGAUACCUGCGACAGGACGGAAAGACCCCAUGGAGCUUUACUGUAGCUUGACAUUGGGUCUUGGUACUACAUGUACAGGAUAGGUGGGAGGCUUUGAAACCAGGACGCCAGUUUUGGCGGAGCCAUCCUUGGGAUACCACCCUUGUAGUACUGGGACUCUAACCAUAGGCCAUGAAUCUGGUCUUGGGACACUGUCAGGUGGGCAGUUUGACUGGGGCGGUCGCCUCCCAAAAGGUAACGGAGGCGCUCAAAGGUUCUCUCAGUACGGUCGGAAAUCGUACGUAGAGUGUAAAGGCAAAAGAGAGCUUGAUUGCAAGACAUACAGGUCGAGCAAGGAUGAAAAUCGGACUUAGUGAUCCGGUGGUUCUGCGUGGAAGGGCCAUCGCUCAACGGAUAAAAGCUACCCUGGGGAUAACAGGCUUAUCUCCCCCAAGAGUCCACAUCGACGGGGAGGUUUGGCACCUCGAUGUCGGCUCAUCACAUCCUGGGGCUGUAGUAGGUCCCAAGGGUUGGGCUGUUCGCCCAUUAAAGUGGUACGCGAGCUGGGUUCAGAACGUCGUGAGACAGUUCGGUCCCUAUCCGUCGCAGGCGUAGGAAAUUUGAGAAGACCUGUCCUUAGUACGAGAGGACCGGGAUGGACGUACCUCUGGUGUACCAGUUGUUCUGCCAAGGGCAUGGCUGGGUAGCUAUGUACGGAAUGGAUAAGCGCUGAAAGCAUCUAAGCGCGAAGCCAACUUCAAGAUAAGAUUUCCCACCGCAAGGGUAAGACUCCAGAAAGACUAUCUGGUUGAUAGGUCGAAGGUGUAAGUGCAGCAAUGUAUUUAGCUUAUCGAUACUAAUAGGUCGAGGACUUGACCAA
rnacentral:rRNA from 2 species